rnacentral:rRNA from 1 species
CAUAAUCAUUAGUCUUUUAAUUGAAGGCUGGUAUGAAUGGUUGGAUGAAAUAUAAACUGUUUCAUUUGAAUAUUAGAAUUUUAUUUUUUAGUUAAAAAGCUAAAAUUUAAUUAAAAGACGAGAAGACCCUAUAAAUCUUUAUAUUAAAUUUAUUUUGAUUAUAUAGAUUGUUUAAAUUAUUAUAAAAAUUAAUAUUUUAUUGGGGUGAUAUUAAAAUUUAAAAAACUUUUAAUUAUAAUUUAACAUAAAUUAAUGAAUAAUUGAUCCAUUAUUAAUGAUUAAAAAUUUAAGUUACUUUAGGGAUAACAGCGUAAUUUUUUUGGAGAGUUCAUAUUGAUAAAAAAGAUU